UGAAGGCAAUACGCUUCUCUUGUUUUUUGUUCUCUAGCAACUGGAAUUCAGAGGCAUAUUGCUUCCAAACCUGAAUGUACUAUAUAGCCUUCAUAACUAGAACUGGAAGUCAUUGAUAGUCUUGUCCUCCAUGAAUUUCUCUAAUCUCUUUUUAAAGUAAUCUAAGAUAGUAUCCAUCACCAUUUCUUAACGGCAGUGAAUUCAAUAAAUUAAUUAUGUGCGGUGUGAAUAAAUUCUUCCUUUUGUCUAUCCUAGAUCUCCUGCCAGCCAGUUUCAUUGGUUGAACUUAUGUUCUAGGUUUGUGAGAAUGAGUGUAAAACUUCUCUAUCCAUUUUCUCCACAUCAUGGAUCAUUUUAUAAGGUUCAGUUAUAUCCCCCUUUAGUGGUCCCCCCCCAACUCAAAAAAUCCAAGCCCCGGAGGGAAAAACUUCAGCUCCCUGAUAAUUUUGGUUGCCCUCUUGUGCACCUUGCCCAACUCGAAAAUAUUCUCUUUGAGAUGUACCAUACUCAGCUGAACACAGUAUUCCAAAUGUGGCCAAGGACAACAAAGUAGAAUAGAAUGGAAGAGAGAGGGAGAGAUGAUCAAAGAGUUAAAGUGAAUUCCAUGUUAAGUUAGGAUUAGGUAGUUCUCAGUCUGAAAAUAAUGGAGACUACUGUGAUAUACUUUCUUGACAGGUGUUCAAGAAUGGUUGGACAGAAAAUGAACAGAACUAAUGCAAAGAAUGAAGUUGCUAAUGUCUUCAAAAGUAAUUGACUGUUAUAGAGAUUCCAGUUUGGUCUUCAUGUUUUUUUAUUGUUUUAAUGAACAUUAGGGAAGCUUGGGCUUUCAAGAAACGUCAAUAGACCAUCAGGAAUACUUGUCCUUUAUCAUUCAAUCCGCAACUGAUCAGACUGAAGAAGGAUACAGAAGAAGCGCUUGCAGAGAAAGCCAACAAGGCAACAACUAUUCAAACCAAGUGGAAAUGCCUAAGAAUUCCCCUACAUGCUGGAAUUACUUCACCGAGGAUUAAAUAAAACCACCUGUUUUCAUUGUGGCUGUUCAUUCUACUUAUGCUGUGUUCAUACUUCUAAUGCCCAGCAGCUAGCACAAAACACUCCAACCCCAACCAC